rnacentral:rRNA from 1 species
GUAGUCAUAUGCUUGUCUCAAAGAUUAAGCCAUGCAUGUCUAAGUAUAAGCAAUUAUACAGCGAAACUGCGAAUGGCUCAUUAUAUAAGUUAUCGUUUAUUUGAUAGUACCUUACUACUUGGAUAACCGUGGUAAUUCUAGAGCUAAUACAUGCUAAAAAUCCCGACUUCGGAAGGGAUGUAUUUAUUAGAUUAAAAACCAAUGCCCUCUGGGCUCCUUGGUGAUUCAUAAUAACUUUUCGAAUCGCACGGCCUUGCGCCGGCGAUGGUUCAUUCAAAUUUCUUCCCUAUCAACUUUCGAUGUUUGGGUCUUGGCCAAACAUGGUCGCAACGGGUAACGGAGGGUUAGGGCUCGACCCCGGAGAAGGAGCCUGAGAAACGGCUACUACAUCCAAGGAAGGCAGCAGGCGCGCAAAUUACCCAAUCCCGAUUCGGGGAGGUAGUGACAAUAAAUACUGAUACAGGGCUCUUUUGGGUCUUGUAAUUGGAAUGAGUACAAUUUAAAUCUCUUAACGAGGAACAAUUGGAGGGCAAGUCUGGUGCCAGCAGCCGCGGUAAUUCCAGCUCCAAUAGCGUAUAUUAAAGUUGUUGUGGUUAAAAAGCUCGUAGUUGAACCUUGGGCCUGGCUGGCCGGUCCGCCUCACCGCGUGCACUGGUCCGGCCGGGCCUUUCCCUCUGUGGAACCCCAUGCUCUUCACUGAGUGUGGCGGUGAAACAGGACUUUUACUUUGAAAAAAUUAGAGUGCUCCAGGCAGGCCUAUGCUCGAAUACAUUAGCAUGGAAUAAUAAAAUAGGACGCGUGGUUCUAUUUUGUUGGUUUCUAGGACCGCCGUAAUGAUUAAUAGGGACAGUCGGGGGCAUCAGUAUUCAAUUGUCAGAGGUGAAAUUCUUGGAUUUAUUGAAGACUAACUACUGCGAAAGCAUUUGCCAAGGAUGUUUUCAUUAAUCAGGAACGAAAGUUAGGGGAUCGAAGACGAUCAGAUACCGUCGUAGUCUUAACCAUAAACUAUGCCGACUAGGGAUCGGACGAUGUUAUUUUUUGACGCGUUCGGCACCUUACGAGAAAUCAAAGUGCUUGGGCUCCAGGGGGAGUAUGGUCGCAAGGCUGAAACUUAAAGAAAUUGACGGAAGGGCACCACCAGGGGUAAACCGCUUCGCGCAGCCGCAGUAGCUCUGCCCCAGAAAGCAGCCCAAAAGGGUCAGUGGUGUUCCUGCCAGCGCUCCGGCGCGGCGAACUAAUUGCUAGUCUCCUCUGGAGGCGACACCCUCAAAUUGCGGGAAAAUCCUAAAGCCAGUGUCACCAAGCCGGCGCCGAAAGGGCGUCGGUGGCCGGGGUAGCGACCUAGGGUACGGUAAAAGCACACUGGAUAAUGCAAUGGACGAUCCGCAGCCAAGCCUCGUCGCCGCAGGGCACGGGGAAGGUUCAGAGACUACAUGGGGGUGGGUAGUGCACUGUCUGGGGGCUCCGGCCCCGAGCGCCCGCUCACAACACUGCUUAAGAUAUAGUCCGGCCGUGCUGGAAACAGCACGGGCUGGCAAACCCAGAAACGGGAGCCUGCGGCUUAAUUUGACUCAACACGGGGAAACUCACCAGGUCCAGACACAAUGAGGAUUGACAGAUUGAGAGCUCUUUCUUGAUUUUGUGGGUGGUGGUGCAUGGCCGUUCUUAGUUGGUGGAGUGAUUUGUCUGCUUAAUUGCGAUAACGAACGAGACCUUAACCUGCUAAAU